rnacentral:rRNA from 1 species
UUGUUGCGGUAAAAAAGCUCGUAGUUGGAUUUCUGUUGAGGGCGACCGGUCCAUACCACGUAUGCGCAUCUGGCUCGGCCUCGGCAUCCUCUCGAUAGACGUUUCUGCGCUUGAUUGCGUGGUGCGGAUUUCGGGACUUUUACUUUGAGGAAAUUAGAGUGUUCACGGCAGGCUAUCGCCAGAAUACGUUAGCAUGGAAUAAUACUAUAGGAUCUCGGUUCUAUUUUGUUGGUUUCUAGAAGCGAGGUAAUGAUUAAUAGGGACAAUUGGGGGCAUUUGUAUCAACACGUCAGAGGUGGAAUUCUUGGAUUGUGUUGCGACAAACUACUGCGAAAGCAUUUGCCAAGGAUGUUUUCAUUGAUCAAGAACGAAAGUAAGGGGAUCGAAGACGAUUAGAUACCGUCGUAGUCUUUACCAUAAACUAUGCCAACUAGAGAUGGGUGAUCGUUCAUUUACGACUUCAUCCGCACCUUAUGAGAUAUCAAAGUUUUUGGGUUCCGGGGGGAGUACUGUCGCAAGGUAGAAACUUAAAGGAAUUGACGGAAGGGCACCACCAGGAGUGGAGCCUGCGGCUUAAUUUGACUCAACACGGGAAAACUCACCAGGUCCAGACAUAAUAAGGAUUGACAGAUUGAUAGCUCUUUCUUGAUUUUAUGGGUGGUGGUGCAUGGCCGUUCUUAGUUCGUGGAGUGAUUUGUCUGCUUAAUUGCGUUAACGAACGAGACCUUAACCUGCUAAAUAGAAGCUCCUAUCUUCGGAUAAGUGCAUUUCUUCUUAGAGGGACUUUACGCGUUGCAGCGUGAGGAAGUUUGAGGCUAAAACAGGUCUGUGAUGCCCUUCGAUGUUCUGGGCUGCACGCGCGCUACACUGAUGCGUCCAACGAGUGUACAACCUUGCCCGAUAGGGUUGGGUAACCUUUUGAACACGCAUCGUGAUGGGGAUAGAUUAUUGCAAUUAUUAAUCUUCAACGAGGAAUUCCUAGUAAUGAUGGUUCAUCAGACCAUCGUGAUUACGUCCCUGCCCUUUGUACACACCGCCCGUCGCUCCUACCGAUUGAGUAAUCCGGUGAAUACUUUGGACCGGGAUCCGUCGGGGCAACCCGCUCGGAACCUGGAAAAUUGAGUUAACCUUAUUACUUAGAGGAAGGAGAAGUCGUAACAAG